GGAUAGCUCGGGGAAACCCGGGGUAAUACUCGAUGACCCCCAUGGAUCGCAUGGUUCGUGGGGCAAAGGCUUGCUGCCUUGGGAUCGGGAAACGCCCUAUCAGGUUGUUGGUGAGGUAACGGCUCACCAAGCCUAAGACGGGUAGCGGGUGUGAGAGCAUGACCCGCCGCAUCGGGACUGAGACACUGCCCGGACUCCUACGGGAGGCUGCAGCAACGGAUAUUGGGCAAUGAGCGAAAGCUUGACCCAGCAAUGCCGCGUGCAGGAGGAAGCCCCUCGGGGUGUAAACUGCUGUCAGGGUUUAGGAAGUUCUGACCAAACCCAAAGGAAGGGCCGGCUAACUUCGUGCCAGCAGCCGCGGUAAUACGAAGGGCCCAAGCGUUAAUCGGAAUCACUGGGCUUAAAGGGUGCGCAGGCGGAAUGGUCAGUGUCUUGUGAAAUCCCACGGCUCAACCGUGGAACUGCAGGGCAUACUGCCAUUCUUGAGGCCGGUAGAGGCCCGCCGGAACUCUAGGUGUAGCGGUGAAAUGCGUAGAUAUCUAGAGGAACGCCGAAGACGAAGGUAGGCGGCUGGGCCGGUUCUGACGCUCAGGCACGAAAGCGUGGGGAGCAAGCAGGAUUAGGAUCCCUGGUAGUCCAAGCCGUAGGCGUUGUGCACUAGGUGCUGGAGGGUCUGCAACCAUCAGGGGCGAAGCCGAAAGUGAUUAGUGCACCGCCUGGGGAGCACGGUCGCGAGGCUAAAACUCAAAGGAAUUGACGGGGGCUCACACAAUCGGUGGAGCAUGUGGCUUAAUUCGAGGCAACGCGAAGAACCUUAUCCUGGGCUUGACAUGCAUGGAUUAACGCUGGGAAACCAGCGCCACACUCUUUGAGUGGAACAUGCACAGGUGCUGCAUGGCUGUCGUCAGCUCGUGCUGUGAAGUGUUGGGUUAAGUCCCUUAACGAGCGAAACCCCUGUCGCUAGUUACCAUCAGGUAAUGCUGGGGACUCUAGCGAGACUGCCGGUGUCAAACCGGAGGAAGGCGGGGAUGACGUCAAGUCCUCAUGGCCUUUAUGCCCAGGGCUGCACACGUGCUACAAUGGCGCCGACAGAGCGAAGCAAAACCGCGAGGUAGAGCAAAUCGCAAAAAAGGUGCCCCAGUUCGGAUUGCAGUCUGCAACUCGACUGCAUGAAGCCGGAAUCGCUAGUAAUC
rnacentral:rRNA from 1 species